GCAGUGCGAGUUCAGCCCGCUUUCUUCGCGCUCCGCGUCAAAUCUCUCCAGCUCUGUUCUCGCAUCCCGAUGGGCCACCUGUUUUAAAUCCAAAAGCUGGUAGGAGUUUCAGGUACACUGCAUUUGCUUCUGCUGUCCUAUUGCACUUGGACUUGGUGCAGCUAUGACCUAAUGCAGAAGACAAAGUAUGAAGCUACCAAACUGUCAGGGCCAGAACUAAGGUGAGGCAAGAAAGCUACUUGCUUGGGGCACAAAUUUAAGAAGAGGUGCCAAAAAAC
rnacentral:lncRNA from 10 species